UACGGGGGGGGCAAGCGUUGUUCGGAAUUACUGGGGGUAAAGGGCUCGUAGGCGGCCAACUAAGUCAGACGUGAAAUCCCUCGGCUUAACCGGGGAACUGCAUCUGAUACUGGAUGGCUUGAGUUCGGGAGAGGGAUGCGGAAUUCCAGGUGUAGCGGUGAAAUGCGUAGAUAUCUGGAGGAACACCGGUGGCGAAGGCGGCAUCCUGGACCGACACUGACGCUGAGGAGCGAAAGCCAGGGGAGCAAACAGG
rnacentral:rRNA from 1 species